rnacentral:rRNA from 1 species
UACGGAGGGGGCGAGCGUUAUUCGGAAUUAUUGGGCGUAAAGGGCGCGUAGGCGGCUAUUCAAGUCAAAGGUGAAAUCCCUCGGCUCAACUGAGGAACUGCCUUUGAAACUGAAUGGCUUGAGUCCGGGAGGGGGUAGCGGAAUUCCCAGUGUAGCGGUGAAAUGCGUAGAUAUUGGGAGGAACACCAGUGGCGAAGGCGGCUACCUGGACCGGAACUGACGCUGAUGCGCGAAAGCGUGGGGAGCAAACAGG